GUUUUUAAAAAUAAAAGGUAAGGGAAUGGAGGCAGAACAUUUUUUUCCGAAUCUCCUUGCUGUACCAACAACACAAGUGGAAGUUUCCCCCCCUUCACUUUCUACCAAUAUGCUAUUGAAGGGCUGUUGUUCAGUAGCAUUUCAUAGGUGGAGCCAACGAGGAUGUUUCCAUGGUGACGUAAUGUGGCGGGGAGAAGGUGGAAAGUGAAACGGUGAGUGUCCAUGCUUAAUAAGCGUGGUUGGCCACAAACAGUGACUCUCCGCCAGCAGUGCUGCCUCCAGCAGACACAUAUUUGCCCACACAGGCCUGGCUGUUAG